UACGUAGGUGGCAAGCGUUGUCCGGAAUUAUUGGGCGUAAAGCGCGCGCAGGCGGCCUCUUAAGUCUGAUGUGAAAGCCCCCGGCUCAACCGGGGAGGGGCAUUGGAAACUGGGUGGCUAAAGUAUAGGAGAGAGCAGUGGAAUUCCACGUGUAGCGGUGAAAUGCGUAGAGAUGUGGAGGAACACCAGUGGCGAAGGCGACCGUUUGGCCUAUAACUGACGCUGAGGCGCGAAAGCGUGGGGAGCAAACAGG
rnacentral:misc_RNA from 1 species